rnacentral:rRNA from 1 species
UAGGGAAUCUUGCGCAAUGGGCGAAAGCCUGACGCAGCGACGCCGCGUGCGGGAAGAAGGCCUUCGGGUUGUAAACCGCUUUCAGGAGGGAAGAAGCCGCUCGGGUUAACAGCCUAGAGGGUGACGGUACCUCCAGAAGAAGCCCCGGCUAACUACGUGCCAGCAGCCGCGGUAAUACGUAGGGGGCAAGCGUUGUCCGGAUUCAUUGGGCGUAAAGAGCGUGUAGGCGGCCAGGUAGGUCGGUUGUGAAAACUGGAGGCUCAACCUUCAGAGGUCGAUCGAAACCAUCUGGCUAGAGUCCGGGAGAGGAGAGUGGAAUUCCUGGUGUAGCGGUGAAAUGCGCAGAUAUCAGGAAGAACACCCGUGGCGAAAGCGGCUCUCUGGAACGGUACUGACGCUGAGACGCGAAAGCGUGGGGAGCGAACAG